CUUCACCUCUCUAUCUACACUACCAAACCAGGCGUACAAUCUUCAUCAGCACCGCUCCGCCGUUUCCGCAAGGAAGAGCGGCUAGGUUACAGUAAAGAUCAUCCUCUAAGCCAAUGGUUCACUAAUUUCUCUGCGGCGGAUGAGCGCUUAAAACUUACAGCAGAUUAAAGAGGCCUAAGAACCUGCGUCUCUGGUUUUCCCCUCAUCUUUGCAAAAAUUGUCUCUGCUUCUAAUCCCACAAUUUUCUCUGCCUUCAUCUCUGCAAAAACCCAGUGAAAGUUUUCCAAAGGAUGCAAGCGUACAAGAGAAGAUUCAUAUCCAGGUGUGGGGUUUAGGAAUUUAAGGGUUCCUUUUCCCAUGAUUUGGUGUGUCAUAUGUAAAAUCUGAGCUGGUAGCUGGUAGGAUGCAGCAGAUUUGGGGGUGUGAGCUGUGUGGUUUUGGGUUACAAACAAACAUAGUAUAGAUAUCAAUUUAUUUAGUUUCUGGUCAACAGGACACUUAAUGAGAAAACUAUAGCAAGUGGUUUUGGUUCCAUUCACUUUCUUCUUGAUGCCUCUGAACAACAACAAUACAAACAAGCUAUUUUGGCAUAUGCAAUCCUUCUCAAAACAUAAAAUGACAAGGAAAUUAAAAUUAUGAAUUUGAGUUGCAGUAUAUAUAUAUGGCAGCAUCAAGAUUGCAAUUUGAUCUACAACAAGGGAAUUAUUGCAUAUCUAAACAUCAAAUCGGACCCGACCAGACAUCAUAUCAGACAUUCUCUCUAAGACAAAGGACUUCCAAAGUGCCGACCGCAAUAACUUUGACAAACUUGAGAAUUAUUAUCUGUCUUUAUGUGCAUAGAAUGACAUAUAUUCUCAUGUCUAGUUUGGCCAACUUAUUUAGGAACCAUUUGUAUCCCAUUACAUUCUUGUAAUUCAAUAUUGUACUAUGAAAAAUAUUGUUCUAUUUUGAAAUUUUAAUUGAUACUAAAAUAGUUUAUUUCAA